rnacentral:rRNA from 1 species
GACUUGUGUGAUCCUAUGCAAGAAGCCUUGAUGCACGAAAUCUCUGAUGAAGUGGUUAAGCUGGUGGCGAAAUACGGCGGCUUAAUGUGGGGCGAAAACGGUAAAGGCUUCCGCUCUGAGUAUGGGCCUGACUUCUUCGGUGAAGAACUGUUUACCGAGCUUAGACGCGUUAAAGCGGCGUUCGACCCACACAACAAGAUGAACCCAGGCAAAAUCUGUACGCCUUUAGAAAGCGACGCUGAGUUGGUAAAAGUGACUGACACCAAGCGUGGCUUUUAUGAUCGCCAGAUCGACGUUCAAGUCCGUGACAGCUUUAAGCAAGCGAUGGAAUGUAACGGCAACGGUUUGUGCUUUAAUUACGAUACUAGCUCUCCAAUGUGUCCUUCAAUGAAAGUGACGGCUGACCGUCGUCAUUCUCCAAAAGGCCGUGCUGGUUUAGUGAGAGAAUGGCUACGCCAGUUAACGGAACAAGGCGUCGAUAUUCUCGAUUUAGAGCAAGAGGCGCUAAAAGAUAACACUCCGGUUAAAACUAUGGUGGAACGUGUUCGCAACACGAUGAACAAGCGCCAUGAGUACGAUUUCUCACAUGAAGUCCACGAGGCGAUGAAUGGUUGGCCGUAAACGAUGAUAACUAGCUGUCCGGACUCAUAGAGUUUGGGUGGCGCAGCUAACGCAUUAAGUUAUCCGCCUGGGGAGUACGGUCGCAAGAUUAAAACUCAAAGGAAUUGACGGGGGCCUGCACAAGCGGUGGAGCAUGUGGUUUAAUUCGAAGCAACGCGCAGAACCUUACCAGCCCUUGACAUCCUCAUCGCGGAUUUGGGAGACCAUUUCCUUCAGUUCGGCUGGAUGAGUGACAGGUGCUGCAUGGCUGUCGUCAGCUCGUGUCGUGAGAUGUUGGGUUAAGUCCCGCAACGAGCGCAACCCUCACCUUUAGUUGCCAUCAUUUAGUUGGGCACUCUAAAGGAACUGCCGGUGAUAAGCCGGAGGAAGGCGGGGAUGACGUCAAGUCCUCAUGGCCCUUAUGGGCUGGGCUACACACGUGCUACAAUGGUCGGUACAGAGGGUCGCUAACUCGCGAGAGUACGCAAAUCCCAGAAAGCCGAUCGUAGUCCGGAUCGGAGUCUGCAACUCGACUCCGUGAAGUCGGAAUCGCUAGUAAUCGCGAAUCAGAAUGUCGCGGUGAAUACGUUCCCGGGCCUUGUACACACCGCCCGUCACACCAUGGGAGUGGGUUGCACCAGAAGUAGCUAGUCUAACCUUCGGGAGGACGGUUACCACGGUGUGAUUCAUGACUGGGGUGAAGUCGUAACAAGGUAGCCGUAGGGGAACCUGCGGCUG